AGGCUUCAGAAAUAACAAGAGUAAUUAAGGAAAAUUCCUAGUAUAGUUUAAAUGGCCAGAUUCAUUUCAACAAAUACAACACUACAAAUUUAGUUUUAUCAUAGAAUUGUAAGCAUGCAUUAGUCAAUGGUUUUUCCAUUUAAAUAUUUGUUUUAUUAUCUAUGACACUUGGACAGGUGUUUUACUUAAAACGAUUCUUCGAAGUUAGGCGAGUUGUAUGAGGUUAAAAACGCUCUUCCGUCUAAAGUGUGUGGGUCAUAAUUUUUUGUGUUCAUUUCAACAUUAUUAUGUGAUACGGUAGACCUGAAGGCGUGUGUGUAAUGAUUUAAAUUAACUAUUCGAAAAUUAUUGUUGAACUAUCAUAGUGAAAAAGCUUAGAACUUUCAAUCUAAAAUUCAUCAAGGACUGAUACAUUUCAAUUAAAUAUUCAUUUUAUAGUAUUGUAAAGUUUGUUUCCAAGUUUAAUUAAAUGACUUUUAUAAAAAAA